CAAGUCAAGGUUCCAGCUCGUAGUUGGAUAUCUGGAUUGAGUUUGUUCGUGGUUUCCACAGCAAUUCAGUUCAUCCUUCUGUUAAAGCACCUUGUACUUGUACCGGGUGUCAGCUCAGAUAUUUUACCUUGAGAAAAUUAGAGUGUUUCAGGCAGGCAGGCGGAAUACAACAGCUGGAAUAAUAGAAUUGACAUGACUCUGUGGUUGGCCAGAGAAAGUGUAAUGAUUAAAAAGGAACAGUUGGGGGCAUUAGUAUUUUAAUUUGUCAGAAGGAAAAAUUCUUGGGUUUUGUUAAAAACUAAAUUAAAGCAAAAGCCUUU
rnacentral:rRNA from 1 species